rnacentral:rRNA from 1 species
UCCUGGCUCAGAUUGAACGCUGGCGGCAGGCCUACCACAUGCAAGUCGAGCGGUAGCACAGAGAGCUUGCUCUCGGGUGACGAGCGGCGGACGGGUGAGUAAUGUCUGGGAAACUGCCUGAUGGAGGGGGAUAACUACUGGAAACGGUAGCUAAUACCGCAUAACGUCGCAAGACCAAAGAGGGGGACCUUCGGGCCUCUUGCCAUCAGAUGUGCCCAGAUGGGAUUAGCUAGUAGGUGGGGUAACGGCUCACCUAGGCGACGAUCCCUAGCUGGUCUGAGAGGAUGACCAGCCACACUGGAACUGAGACACGGUCCAGACUCCUACGGGAGGCAGCAGUGGGGAAUAUUGCACAAUGGGCGCAAGCCUGAUGCAGCCAUGCCGCGUGUAUGAAGAAGGCCUUCGGGUUGUAAAGUACUUUCAGCGGGGAGGAAGGUGUUGUGGUUAAUAACCACAGCAAUUGACGUUACCCGCAGAAGAAGCACCGGCUAACUCCGUGCCAGCAGCCGCGGUAAUACGGAGGGUGCAAGCGUUAAUCGGAAUUACUGGGCGUAAAGCGCACGCAGGCGGUCUGUCAAGUCGGAUGUGAAAUCCCCGGGCUCAACCUGGGAACUGCAUCCGAAACUGGCAGGCUUGAGUCUUGUAGAGGGGGGUAGAAUUCCAGGUGUAGCGGUGAAAUGCGUAAAGAGAUCUGGAGGAACCGGUGGCGAAGGCGGCCCCCUGACAGAC